GACGAACGCUGGCGGCGCGCUUAACACAUGCAAGUCGAACGGAAAGGCCUGCUUUCCCUUGUGGAUUGCGGGUACUCGAGUGGCGAACGGGUGAGUAACACGUGAGUGAUCUGCCCCCAACUUGGGUAUAAGCCUGGGAAACUGGGUCUAAUUCCCGAUAGGACUGCAGGGUGGUGCCUGUGGUGGAAAACGAUUUUCUAGUGGUUGGGGAUGAGCUCGCGGCCUAUCAGCUUGUUGGUGGGGUAAUGGCCUACCAAGGCGGCGACGGGUAGCCGGCCUGAGAGGGUGGACGGCCAGAUUGGGACUGAGAUACGGCCCAGACUGCUACGGGAGGCAGCAGUGGGGAAUAGUGCACAAUGGGCGGAAGCCUGAUGCAGCGACGCCGCGUGGGGGAUGACGGCCUUCGGGUUGUAAACUCCUUUCGACCGCGAGGAAGCCACCUGGUUGGAAGGGUGGUGACGGUAGUGGUAGAAGAAGCACCGGCUAACUACGUG
rnacentral:rRNA from 1 species